AUCUUUUGGCCUUCUCAAUAUUCUAGUCGUGUUGUUCUUGUAUUAGGACUUGAGACUUUGGUGAUUAAUAUUUUGUGAGUCUUAUUGUGAACAUGUUUCUAUAGAAUACCAAAAGCACUGGUGAAUGAUUGUUCAGAGAAGAUAGAAGCCAUUGCUUCCAAAUUGGUUGUCCCCGUGCUUUUCACUUGGACACUUCCAGUCAACCAUGCAAGAAUCUGAGAAACCUUAUGAUGUAACUUCUAUAAAUGAAAGCCCUUCUAAGACCGAAGGAUAAAUUCUUACUUCCCCGAAGUUGAGGAGAAGAUUUGUACCCCAAUCAAGCGUUGAAGAUAGACCUCAUAAUUAUGCUAACACUGAUCACUCGGCUCCUGUCAAAUUGGAUGCAGCUGCACAGAUUCAUAUUCAAAAGCACAGAAAGCUUCAAGAAGACUUGGCAGAUGAAAUGGUUAGGUUGGCACAACAGCUUAAAGAGAGUAGUCUCGUCAUGAGUCAAUCCAUCAAAAACACGGAGAAAAAUGCUUCAAGUCUGAAUAAGCAGGGGUCAUUGUUUGCCGAAAUAUGAUCAGUGAUUCAGAAAAGAAGAGGUACGUGGAGAAAGGGAUUACGUUUCAUCAUAUC